rnacentral:rRNA from 1 species
AGCAGUGGGGGAGGUAUUGCACAAUAGGGGGGAACCCGGUACGAUGCAGCGACGCCGCGUGGGUGAAGAAGCGCCUCGGCGCGUAAAGCCCUGUCAGCAGGGAAGAAAAUGACGGUACCUGAAGAAGAAGCCCCGGCUAACUACGUGCC